rnacentral:rRNA from 1 species
UGGGGAAUAUUGCACAAUGGGCGCAAGCCUGAUGCAGCCAUGCCGCGUGUAUGAAGAAGGCCUUCGGGUUGUAAAGUACUUUCAGUCGGGAGGAAGGUGUCAAGGUUAAUAACCUUGGCAAUUGACGUUACCGACAGAAGAAGCACCGGCUAACUCCGUGCCAGCAGCCGCGGUAAUACGGAGGGUGCAAGCGUUAAUCGGAAUUACUGGGCGUAAAGCGCACGCAGGCGGUUGAUUGAGUCAGAUGUGAAAUCCCCGGGCUUAACCCGGGAAUUGCAUCUGAUACUGGUCAGCUAGAGUCUUGUAGAGGGGGGUAGAAUUCCAUGUGUAGCGGUGAAAUGCGUAGAGAUGUGGAGGAAUACCGGUGGCGAAGGCGGCCCCCUGACAAAGACUGACGCUCAGGUGCGAAAGCGUGGGGAGCAAACAGG